UGGGGAAUCUUGGACAAUGGGGGCAACCCUGAUCCAGCGAUGCCGCGUGAGUGAAGAAGGCCUUCGGGUCGUAAAGCUCUUUAGGUUGGGAAGAAGGGUAUUCGGUGAAUAGCCGAGUAUUUUGACUGUACUGACGGAAUAAGCACCGGCAAACUCUGUGCCAGCAGCCGCGGUAAUACAGAGGGUGCGAGCGUUAAUCGGAAUUACUGGGCGUAAAGGGCGCGUAGGCGGAGACAUAAGUGUGAUGUGAAAGCCCUGGGCUUAACCUAGGAAGUGCAUUGCAGACUAUGUUACUUGAGUAUAUGAGAGGGUGGUGGAAUUUCCGGUGUAGCGGUGAAAUGCGUAGAGAUCGGAAGGAACGUCGAUGGCGAAGGCAGCCACCUGGCAUAAUACUGACGCUGAGGCGCGAAAGCGUGGGUAGCGAACAG
rnacentral:rRNA from 1 species